GGCCCGACAGAGUUUGAUCAUGGCUCAGAGCGAACGCUGGCGGCAGGCUUAACACAUGCAAGUCGAGCGGGCGUAGCAAUACGUCAGCGGCAGACGGGUGAGUAACGCGUGGGAACGUACCUUUUGGUUCGGAACAACACAGGGAAACUUGUGCUAAUACCGGAUAAGCCCUUACGGGGAAAGAUUUAUCGCCGAAAGAUCGGCCCGCGUCUGAUUAGCUAGUUGGUGAGGUAAUGGCUCACCAAGGCGACGAUCAGUAGCUGGUCUGAGAGGAUGAUCAGCCACAUUGGGACUGAGACACGGCCCAAACUCCUACGGGAGGCAGCAGUGGGGAAUAUUGGACAAUGGGCGCAAGCCUGAUCCAGCCAUGCCGCGUGAGUGAUGAAGGCCCUAGGGUUGUAAAGCUCUUUCAACGGUGAAGAUAAUGACGGUAACCGUAGAAGAAGCCCCGGCUAACUUCGUGCCAGCAGCCGCGGUAAUA
rnacentral:rRNA from 1 species